UCCACACUGGAAACUACAGCCAUCUAUUUAAUCCACAGAACAUUCAGCAACAGCACAAAUUUCCUCUGCCCCAUCCAAAGAGCCUCAACCCUAUCCUGAAGGACCACCUUCAAGGAAGAGAUAGUAACUUCAUUUCCAUGCCCACUGAUGCCAUGGCACCU
rnacentral:sRNA from 1 species